rnacentral:rRNA from 1 species
AACGAACGCUGGCGGCAUGCCUAACACAUGCAAGUCGAACGAGACCUUCGGGGCUAGUGGCGCACGGGUGCGUAACGCGUGGGAACCUGUCCUUAGGUUCGGAAUAACUCCCCGAAAGGGGUGCUAAUACCGGAUAAUGUCUUCGGACCACAGAUUUAUCGCCUUUGGAUGGGCCCGCGUUGGAUUAGCUAGUUGGUAGGGUAAAAGCCUAUCAAGGCGACGAUCCAUAGCUGGUCUGAGAGAAUGAUCAGCCACACUGGGACUGAGACACGGUCCAGACUCUUACGGGAGGGAGGAGUGGGGGAUAUUGGACUGUGGGGGGAAGCAUGAUCCAGCAAUGCCGCGUGAGUGAUGAAGGCCGGAGGGUUGUAAAGCUCCUUUACACGGGAUGAUAAUGACAGUACCGGGAGAAUAAGCUCCGGCUAACUCCGUG